AUUCCCAAUCGUCUUGCCAUAGCGACUGGAUCUUCGUGAGGACUCUCAUCCGGAUAUAACAAAUCUCCGAUUCUUCUUCCCGGCACAGCUAUGGCACAAGAGUUGUCUUUUGACGACGGACAGCUGAUAUACGAGUUUGCCGGUUUGAGCAUGCGCGCAAUUAUAAUUUUCAAUCGCGUUGAUUGUUUGGCCUCUUCGCUUUCUAGAAAAAUUAAUUUAGAAUCUACACAUUUACGGUAUCGCGGUACGCGACUCGAGACGACAAUAAAAAGCUUAUUUGCUCUCAGAGUCAUUGACAUUUUCCCUGGAAAUCCAUUUAUCUCUGCAUAAUCCAGAAAUUACUUUCAAGUUUAUCGAAAAUGCAUUGUUAUAUAGAGACGUUUAUAUUUUCGUACGUCGAGAUGAUGAAUUGUAGUCGUUUUAUCAUAUAAAAUGAAAAUCAUGUUUGCGCCAUCCGAUGACUUUGCACGAAUUUCGUUUAAUAGUCGAUCGCAACUGUAGAUAGCGGCGGUUUAAUUUCCAAUUCGAAUAUAAAAUUAGCAAGUAAAAGGAAGAAACCAACGAGUUUUUAGAUUAUUUCGACUAAUACGAUAUAUUUCAUCAAAAUACGUGUGAUGCUUGUUUUUAGCACAAGUUACGAAUAAAGAUAUAUUUUUUUUUUUAAUAAUCAAAUUACAAAAAUAGAUUGGGAUUUCGAGGACAUACAUUUUCUUUUCGCUCACCGUCGUCACACAGUUGAGAGAAAAAAUAGGUGUAAAUAAACAGCGCUGAUUUGAAGGAAAUAUAUGUAUUUCUGGCAAUGUUGAUUGCACUUGGAAACUAUAUGUAAAUUACAAUGUCAAUAAAUCCAGCAUCAUUGGACGAA